GCUGCCUCACCUUGUAGCCAAUAAGGAAGAAGAGAAAGUUCUGAUUUACAGUAUACCAUCAUUUAGCCUCUUCCUUCUUGCGUGGAGUAAGGGAAAACAAAGCAUGAUUGUUUUUCUUCCAUCUCUUUACAUGUGCGAAUAGAAAAAGGGAGACCCACAUAUAUCUGGUUGAUCGUCAUUGUUGACCAUAACGACUCUGCCUCAUCCCUAUUCCUCACCCGAUGUGAGCGCUGCCAUAAGAAGAACAAGUAGUUUAAUUGCUGCCCCAUUGGUUCAGAAGCAUCAACAGAUUUACUCCCUUCCCUUCCUAUGCGUAUGGUAAGGGGAAUAAUCAAUCUGAUUGUUCACCCUUUUGGUUCAGAAGGUAGACCAGCUUUAUCCACCCCCAUCUCCUCCCUAAGCGCAUUGUAGGACGCACACACAUCCCUCAUUGCAUGUUCUUUCUCUCAUCCAGUCCACAAAUCAUGAACACUUGGGGAGAAAACAAAACACUUAACUAUAUUUUUUUCCUCUCCUCAAGUCCGUGAAGCCACAUUGGGAGACAACCAAACUCAGAAUCAUGUUCUCAUCUCUUCCCUGGUUCGGCCAUGGACUAAUCUCCAAGGAGCUUGUGAUUUCAUUCAACCCAUCGUCCUUCUUUCCUUGUGUACGCCGUCAACCCCAAGUGGGGAAAAGCAAAACCGAAAUUUGGAGCAUAGGAAAGUAUAAAGCUGCUCCUUGCCAAACCGUGACUGUUGUGUACCAGCCAAAAAGGUGCGCACAACGCUAUGUGAGCAUGGACUUAUUAUUGCUGUUGUCUGAUUAAUUUAUUGUGGCACGCGAGGAGGACGGAAGAUCAUUGGAAGACAUGAUAAUAUGGAUAUUUGCUGUUAUGUGCUGCUGUAUGGACUAUUGUUGUUGCUGUUUAUUUGAUGGAUGACUGUAUUAAAUUGAGUAGUUUGGAUUACUGUUGAAUUAUGAUUUUAUUACUAUUUUUAAGUCUUUUGUGAUCAGCAAGUAUUUUGAAAACAAAUUCCUGAAACGUUUUGCGAAAAUAAUUUCUGAGGUUUUUGAAUGCUGAUUUU